GGGUAAGAUCUCUAUUGGCAGG
rnacentral:miRNA from 1 species